UACGUAGGGUGCGAGCGUUAAUCGGAAUUACUGGGCGUAAAGCGUGCGCAGGCGGUUCGUUAUGUCCGAUGUGAAAGCCCCGAGCUUAACUUGGGAAUGGCAUUGGAAACUGGCGGGCUUGAGUGCGGCAGAGGGGGUGGAAUUCCGCGUGUAGCAGUGAAAUGCGUAGAGAUGCGGAGGAACACCGAUGGCGAAGGCAGCCCCUGGGUCGACACUGACGCUCAGGCACGAAAGCGUGGGAGCAAACAGG
rnacentral:rRNA from 1 species